rnacentral:rRNA from 1 species
GACGAACGCUGGCGGCGUGCCUAAUACAUGCAAGUCGAACGCAGUGGGGACGGGUGAGUAACACGUGGGUAACCUCCCAUCAGAGGGGAUAACACUUGGAAACAGGUGCUAAACCGAUACUGAUGGAUGGACCCGCGGUGCAUGAGCUAGUUGGUGGGGUAACGGCUCACCAAGGCCAAGAUGCAUAGCUGGCCUGAGAGGGUGAUCGGCCACACUGGGACUGAGACACGGCCCAGACUCCUACGGGAGGCAGCAGUAGGGAAUCUUCGGCAAUGGACGAAAGUCUGACCGAGCAACGCCGCGUGGGUGAAGAAGGUUUUCGGAUGGUAAAACUCUGUUGUUAGAGAAGCGGUAUCUGACGAAGAAGCCACGGCUAACUACGUGCCAGCAGCCGCGGUAAUUC